CUGCAUUCUUGUGGCAGCGUGAAAUUCCUCACGCCCUGGGACAACUCUCAACACGGCAGCUUGCCAGUCCCUUUCUCCCGAGAGAAGGGGAGUGGUUUCCAGUCUAUAGUCAAGGCUGUGGCUCAGAAGUAGAGGAUUACAAGUAGACUGGACGUGGUGUUGUUGACAAUAACAGACUAGUUCAGAGCUACAGUACAGGCAAACCAGAAAAACUUUACUGCACUGGAUUUGGUCAAGCGAAUGCAGAGAUACAGCGUUUUGAAGAACACUAGUCAGGGAAAAAUUCGUACAAAAAUUUACCGCAUUUUAAUGUACUUGGGCGGGACUUAUGAAAUUUGUUGUUAAUACCGGAAAUGAUCUUAAAGUUAGCAUAUCUGCUGAACCGCUUGGUCUAUUCUCUUUUAAAAAAGUAUGAAAUGGACACUCAGGACUCAGGAGUUGACAUUGUAACCAUUUGAUAUCUAUUAUGAAGUUUAUAAUGUUUCUGUAAUGUAUAUGUUUAUGAUGUCCCUAUAAUAGUAUGAUGUCUCCUGCUUCAGAGAGUUCUUUUGGAUUUAAAGUAACCAUGCUAUCUUUUCAGUAUAUUGUAUCAUGUUUCAGAACUCUCAUCAAUGUCCACCUUACGCUUGUAUCUGUUUCUUGAUCUUUAUAAGCAACUUUUCUGUCAAUUUCAUUUGGUCUAAAUAA